CAAGUUCGCACGGGGUAGCAAUACCCAGUGGCGAACGGGAGAGUAAUGARUCGCUAACGUACCCCGGACUCUGGGAUAGCYAYCCGAAAGGRURGGUAAUACCAGAUGAYAYRACCKYRYSGCAUSGYRKGGUUYUCAAAGGUCCGCCGGUCUGGGAGCGGGCGAUUUCGUAUCAGCUAGUUGGUGRGGUAAYGGCUCACCAAGGCGACGACGCGUAGCCGGACUGAGAGGUUGGCCGGCCUCAUUGGGACUGAGACACUGCCCAGACUCCUACGGGGGGCUGCAGUAACGAAUCUUCCGCAAUGCACGAAAGUGUGACGGAGCGACGCCGCGUGUGGGACGAAGCCCUUCGGGGUGUAAACCACUGUCAGGGGUUACCAAGUUCUGAGGAGCCCCAGAGGAAGGCACGGCUAACUCUGUGCCAGCAGCCGCGGUAAGACAGAGGUGCCAAGCGUUAGGCGGAAUCACUGGGCUUAAAGCGUGUGUAGGCGGAUUGGUAAGUACCUUGUGAAAUCCCACAGCUCAACUGUGGAACUGCUCGGUAUACUGCUUAUCUUGAGCCACUUAGGGGCUGUCGGAACAAACGGUGGAGCGGUGAAAUGCGUA
rnacentral:rRNA from 1 species